rnacentral:lncRNA from 1 species
UGAAAAGCUACCAACGAAAUGAAGAUUAUGAGAAAGUCGAAAUUACCUUGAACCUACUCUCAUAUAUUCUUGGUGUUUGGGACUGCUACAAAAUGUAAGGAAGCAUCAUAUAUCUAGAAGAAGAUUCAACUUCACCACAGAAGCCUGAAUGUGCCAGUAGAGAAAAAUAAGAAAACAACAAGUAAAUCCACAACUGCAAAGAAAGUGUGUGUUGGGGGAUUGGUGAAGGCAUCAGCAGAGGGAGAUAGUUAAACAAAAUGGUCUGAAAGAAAGCAGGUGGAAUAAUGUUGGCAAAGCAAAAUGUAGAAAGUUGGCUGCCCAGAAUUCCUGAGACGGAAUUGCAGCGGAGGCAGCUUUCCUGCCCGGCAGCAC